AGCGCUAUCCAGCCGUUGUAAUCAAGAACGGAGGUUGACUACACGUGCACGGAUAACGCUCA
rnacentral:pre_miRNA from 1 species